GCUGGGCAUGUUGGCAUGUGCCUGUAGUUUUAGCCAUUUGGGAGGCUGAGGUAGAAGGCUAGACUGAGCAACUUAGUAAGAUCCUACCUCAA
rnacentral:sRNA from 1 species